GUACAGGUUCCCGUACGCUCACUGAAGUUAAGCAACGUCUAGCUUCGUCAGUACUUGGGUGGGUGACAGCUUGGGGAUACCAGGUGCUGUAAG